GUCUGGAUAAACUGCACUUUUCCCUCUGUUAAGCUUUUGAAGAAAGAAAUAGGAAAAGAAAAAGGAGAAAUUGAAGUUGCUAGUGUUUCCUGCUUUUGAAAAAGAUAUUGGUAUUGGUUUACGUUCCUCACUUCCUCUUCUGAUCCAUUUCAAUUCCUAUGUGAAACAAAAGUUGAAGAUAGAAUCAAGUAAACCAUUGUACAUUACAGUUUUCCUAUUUUAUAAAAGGGGUUGUUUUACCUAAAAAAAAUCAUCACAAUUGCAGACUUCAGUCUUGAAAGAUUCAUUUGCCGGCUGAAGAUUCAUUUGCCGGUUGAGAUGAGGUCUCUGCAAGAUUUCUUUUUUUCUUUUUAAAUUUUCUUUUCCACAGGACAAGAAGCCCCAUUCUAACUGGUUCAGGACACGUCAGAGUUGCCAUUGCCUAAUUGGUUGUUUCUGCACAGCCCACUGA
rnacentral:misc_RNA from 1 species